UCUCUGAUGCUUUCUCAUGCCGGGAAUACGGAUUAUCAAGGACUGAAAGGCUCUGCUAUUCCUUUGUGAGUAACUCCUUGAUAAUACGGGAUUCCCUGACGUGGGUGGAGGUAUCACCGGGUUUUCCUGACCAUCGGAGCCCUGUUUGGUGGUUACCUGAGAAGAUCUGAGCUGCCGGAGUUCUGACCUUGGCUCCUGCUGUUGGUGGCUCUGUUGAGAUCUGUGAAGCUGCUCCAUCGUCCUUACCUCGCCGUUGAUCAUUCAGCUGCCGGAAGGGUUGCUGAGUUAAAGGGGAAAAUCUGAGCCCCCUGUGUCCCGAAGGACACCUUUUCCCCUUCUCUGAACUUUUACUCCUGUAUUUCUGUUCUUUUCUUUCUAGUAUCUUGUUACUCCUUGCUUGUCUAUUUUGUGCAGAUCUGACAGAGGGAAGGAGGAGCUGAGAAGAGAAGAACAGGAGGAGAAGAAGAAGUGCCUGAGCACGAAGUGAGACGGACCGGAGGUUCGGGAAACAAGAGGAGUAAUCCCGGCAAGGCGAAGAUACCCAACAGUGGUAUCAGAGCCACGGGGACCUUGCCGGGGCUCCCCCCGAACACAUCCCUCUCACCCCGCCGCCCUUUGGCUGCGCCGACUCGCUCCCGACGAGCAAGGGUUGAGGUAGGUCCGGCUCUUCCUCCUGAAGAGUCCGGCUCUGGUAAAGCGGCUGUAACCCUAGCUCCUAGUUUUAGGCUUGGUCAAGGUGCUGCUUUUAUUUUUUAUUUUUGGUAUCUUGCGAUCCUGCUCUCUUGUUUGCUUCCGCUUGCUGUUUUUCUCUGUCUGUGUUCUUGUGUUAUCUCCUGUAACCUCAAGAGCAUUCAAAAGCUCACCGUUGGUCUAAGCUUACGGUCCAGUCCGUCUGAAUUCACUUUAAAGUGUCUUCUCGUGCGUGGUAGCCUGGAUAGCUUGACUGAUA
rnacentral:lncRNA from 1 species